AACCUAUCAGCAGUGUAAAAGCUGAGAAAUCCUGCUGGGUAAAAGCGACUGUGUCCUAAUGGAGGCAGCUGCCUCCUACCUACCCUACUGAGCUGAUCAGACAAGGACCACAAAGUUUUCAGCAAUCUGGCAGUGAGCUCACCUUUCAACAUUGAUUAAUGGGGUCAGAUGAGAGAAACCAAGGCACUGCUUGUCCCAGGUCACAGGACAUCAAGGGAGGACCCAACUUGAAUCCCAGUCCAGUGGCCCCUCCCCGACCUGACCAGCAGGUGCUGAGGGGCGCCUCGGACUGACUGGCCAGGACAGUUGGACGAUAUUGCCUGGCUUUCCUCCAGGGUCUCAGACGGGGCACCUCAUGAGACAGGGAACACUCAGACCCGGGCUAGGUGAGAAGACCGCUCCCGCAGGUCACCUGCAGAGACGCGCUGAGAGGAUUGGUCACGGUCAGGCUGUCUGGAUCUCACAUAAGAAGGAAGGUGUUCUCGGUGGUGACACGAGAAGCAGAAAUGGACGGUGAAUGGAUGCAGCGUCUAGACAGCAGAGUGUCAACCAGAGCGCACCCCUCCCCUGGCUCCACGAUGCAUCACUUGCGGCCCUAGAGCAGUGGUUCCCAACCUGUGGGUCUUGGCCCUCCAUGGAGUCUGCGUAUCAGAUAUUUGUAUCACAUUAAAUAUCUGAUAUCCUGCAUAACGUGAUUCAUAACAGUAGCAAACUCACAAUUAACAAAGUAGUAAUGAAGUAAUUUUAUGGUGUGGUGACACCACAACAUGAGGAACUGUAUUAAAGGGUUGUAGCAUUAGGAAGGUUGAGAACCACUGCCCUAGAGUAUCGUGAUGCCUACAUGUUCAACUACAGAAUCACUCUCAAGACAUGGGAAGGAUGGAAAUCAAGGCCGGAUGCACGGCAGUGACUGCAGCAUGUAUACCCUCCCCGAGCCCAGCUUGCCAGAUGGUCUGAAAGCAACUGCAACCCACAGCCUCAUGACUUAGCACCGUCUGCCACUUACACGCACCGAUGCCUGCAAACAUCUCAGCAAAACGGGGGUCUCUCUCUUGGGAGAAGAUUGUAUCUGCCUUUUCCACAG